AGUCACAUCCUUGGAUAGCCCUGAUCUGGGUGACCAACAUAUCCAAAAAUCACCCACAUUGGUUCAGUGGUUUCGUUUUUCCAUGGAAGUCACUUUUUAACAUGUAUUUUUGCAGGGCCCAUAAUCCUGGGGCAAGCAGGCUCUCCAAGUACCAGUGGCGAGGUUACUUUCGGCACACCCUGCGUUUCAGCUGCUUCCAGAAACGGC